CCCAGCUCCUCCGCCCGCUGCCGCCGCCGCGCCCGCGACCGCCGCGCCGACUCCCGGUUCGAUAUCUUGCGCUUCAGCCGGCGCAGCCGCUCCUCCUCGUCCUCGGCGCCGCCUGCCGUCGUGCAGGUACCGAAACCGGAACCGCCCGCAGCGCCGCCGCACGUCGCCGUGCCGGCGCCGAAAUGGAAACCGGCAGCAUCGCCGGCCGUCGUCGCUCCGAAGUCGAAGUCGUCUAAGGCGAAGCCGACGGCGUGCAUGCCUGGCACUGGCACUGGCACUGGCAGCAGCGGCUGGCCGGCGGCGAAGUCAAGCUGCAUCAUGGCCUCGGCCUCGUCGAAGAAGGAGAUCAUCUGUCGUCUGUCACUGGCACGCGCACGCAGAUGCCUGCCGAUGCUGUGCGUUCGUCACCAACCGAAGGAUGCAGAGGCUGGACGGAGCCUCCGCAAUAUAU
rnacentral:misc_RNA from 1 species